GAGUUUGAUCAUGGCUCAGAACAUACGCUGGCGGCACGCCUAACACAUGCAAGUCGAACGAAGUAGCAAUACUUAGUGGCAGACGGGUGAGUAACAUGUAGGUAUCUGCCCUUUGGCCUGGAAUAACACGAGGAAACUUGUGCUAAUACCGGAUAAGUCUUUACGGAGAAAGCUUUACGCACCAUUGGAUGAGCCUGCACUUGAUUAGUUUGUUGGUGGGGUAAUGGCCUACCAAGACUGUGAUCAAUAGCUGAUUUGAGAGGAUGAUCAGCCACAUUGGGACUGAGACACGGCCCAAACUCCUACGGGAGGCAGCAGUGGGGAAUCUUGCACAAUGGAGGAAACUCUGAUGCAGCGAUGCCGCGUGAGUGAAGAAGGCCCUUGGGUUGUAAAGCUCUUUCGUCGGGGAAGAAAAUGACUGUACCCGAAUAAGAAGGUCCGGCUAACUUCGUGCCAGCAGCCGCGGUAAUACGAAGGGACUUAGCGUAGUUCGGAAUUACUGGGCUUAAAGAGUUCGUAGGUGGUUGAAAAAGUUGGUGGUGAAAUCCCAGAGCUUAACUCUGGAACUGCCAUCAAAACUUUUCAGCUAGAGUAUGAUAGAGGAAAGCAGAAUUUCUAGUGUAGAGGUGAAAUUCGUAGAUAUUAGAAAGAAUACCAAUUGCGAAGGCAGCUUUCUGGAUCAUUACUGACACUGAGGAACGAAAGCAUGGGUAGCGAAGAGGAUUAGAUACCCUCGUAGUCCAUGCCGUAAACGAUGUGUGUUAGACGUUGGAAAUUUAUUUUCAGUGUCGCAGCGAGAGCGAUAAAUACACCGCCUGGGGAGUACGACCGCAAGGUUAAAACUCAAAUGAAUUGACGGGGACCCGCACAAGUAGUGGAGCAUGUGGUUUAAUUCGAAGAUACGCGCAGAACCUUACCAACACUUGACAUGUUCGUCGCGACUCUAAGAGAUUAGAGUUUUCGGUUCGGCCGGACGAAACACAGGUGCUGCAUGGCUGUCGUCAGCUCGUGUCGUGAGAUGUUGGGUUAAGUCCCGCAACGAGCGCAACCCUCACUUUUAGUUGCCAUCAUUAAGUUGGGCACUCUGAAAGAACUGCCAGUGAUAAGCUGGAGGAAGGUGGGGAUGACGUCAAGUCCUCAUGGCCCUUACGUGUUGGGCUACACACGUGCUACAAUGGUAUCUACAACAGGAAGCAAAACUGCGAAGUUAAGCAAAUCCCUAAAAGAUACCUCAGUUCGGAUUGCACUCUGCAACUCGAGUGCAUGAAGCUGGAAUUACUAGUAAUCGUGGAUCAGCGUGCCACGGUGAAUGCGUUCCCGGGUCUUGUACACACCGCCCGUCACACCAUGGGAGUUGGUUCUACCUUAAGGCAAGGUUUUAAACCCUUGACCACGGUAUAGUCAGCGACUGGGGUGAAGUCGUAACAAGGUAACC
rnacentral:rRNA from 1 species